UUGGGCGCAAGAAGGAUUGGAGACCCUCUUGUAGUCUAAGGAAUAAACGAUGGAUACUAAGUGUCGGGGGGUUUUAGGAAUCUACCAGUAUCUGUUCUACAAUUCUACCAGUAUCUGAAAUUCUGAAUCUACAAGUACUGUUCUGUAGCUAACGCGUUAAGUAUCCCG
rnacentral:rRNA from 1 species